CAGUAGCCACGGUAAUACGUAGGUGGCAAGCGUUGUCCGGAAUUAUUGGGCGUAAAGCGCGCGCAGGCGGAUCAGUUAGUCUGUCUUAAAAGUUCGGGGCUUAACCCCGUGAUGGGAUGGAAACUGCUGAUCUAGAGUAUCGGAGAGGAAAGUGGAAUUCCUAGUGUAGCGGUGAAAUGCGUAGAUAUUAGGAAGAACACCAGUGGCGAAGGCGACUUUCUGGACGAAAACUGACGCUGAGGCGCGAAAGCCAGGGGAGCGAACGGGAUUAGAUACCCGAGUAGUCCCUGUCUCUUAUACA
rnacentral:rRNA from 1 species